AUUGAACGCUGGCGGCAUGCUUUACACAUGCAAGUCGAACGGUAACAGGCCUUCGGGUGCUGACGAGUGGCGAACGGGUGAGUAAUGCAUCGGAACGUACCCAGAGGUGGGGGAUAACGCAGCGAAAGCUGUGCUAAUACCGCAUGUGAUCUGAGGAUGAAAGCGGGGGACCGAGCAGCAAUGUUUGGCCUCGCGCCUUUGGAGCGGCCGAUGUCGGAUUAGCUAGUUGGUGGGGUAAAGGCCUACCAAGGCGACGAUCCGUAGCUGGUCUGAGAGGACGACCAGCCACACGGGGACUUAGACACGGCCCAGACUCCUACGGGAGGCAGCAGUGGGGAAUUUUGGACAAUGGGCGCAAGCCUGAUCCAGCAAUGCCGCGUGCGGGAAGAAGGCCUUCGGGUUGUAAACCGCUUUUAGCAGGAACGAAACGGUGUCCGCUAAUACCGGGCGCUAAUGACGGUACCUGCAGAAUAAGCACCGGCUAACUACGUG
rnacentral:rRNA from 1 species